GGGUUCCCUACAACAUCAGGAAGUCUCCAACACCUGCUGUGUGUUCCACGAUUCAACUCAAGUCUGACACCAUCUACCCGGAGAGAGUGUCAGAUACCACAGAUUAGGGACUUAGUCCCAUGGACUGAGCCCCUAUCACAUGCCAACUGUGGAUUUUCUGCUUGUGGGAGGACCCCCCAACAGAGGACAUGCAUGGAAAUUGAAAAACAGAUGGCGUGGUAUAAGUGCCCGACAGUUCCGAAGUUAAGAGACCAGAGGUUGAAUCCAGUUUCCUUCAUUUCUAAGUAAGAUUCCCUGAAUUCACAUUCUCUCCUGAGACCAGACGGGUGACUUAAAUGUGUUAAAGUGAUCAACUAAAAAGAUAAGGAGAGUGGUGGCAAGAAGACUAGAGUCUUUCCAACCCAGGUUUUUUCAACCUGCAUUAGCCAAAAAAUAGUAACAGUAAAAUAAAAACAAUUUUU
rnacentral:lncRNA from 1 species